rnacentral:rRNA from 1 species
GUGGGGAAUAUUGGACAAUGGGCGAAAGCCUGAUCCAGCCAUGCCGCGUGUGUGAAGAAGGUCUUCGGAUUGUAAAGCACUUUAAGUUGGGAGGAAGGGCAGUAAGUUAAUACCUUGCUGUUUUGACGUUACCGACAGAAUAAGCACCGGCUAACUUCGUGCCAGCAGCCGCGGUAAUACGAAGGGUGCAAGCGUUAAUCGGAAGUACUGGGCGUAAAGCGCGCGUAGGUGGUUUUGUAAGUUGGAGGUGAAAUCCCCGGGCUCAACCUGGGAACUGCCUCCAAAACUGCAUGACUAGAGUACGGUAGAGGGUAGUGGAAUUUCCUGUGUAGCGGUGAAAUGCGUAGAUAUAGGAAGGAACACCAGUGGCGAAGGCGACUACCUGGACUGAUACUGACACUGAGGUGCGAAAGCGUGGGGAGCAAACAGGAUUAGAUACCCCGGUAGUCC